rnacentral:rRNA from 1 species
GGGCCCGCACAAGCGGUGGAGCAUGUGGUUUAAUUCGACGCAACGCGCAGAACCUUACCAACCCUUGACAUACUUGUCGCGGAUUGAGGAGACUCUUACCUUCAGUUCGGCUGGACCAGUGACAGGUGCUGCAUGGCUGUCGUCAGCUCGUGUCGUGAGAUGUUCGGUUAAGUCCGGCAACGAGCGCAACCCACAUCCCUAGUUGCCAGCAGUUCGGCUGGGCACUCUAUGGAAACUGCCCGUGAUAAGCGGGAGGAAGGUGUGGAUGACGUCAAGUCCUCAUGGCCCUUACGGGUUGGGCUACACACGUGCUACAAUGGUGGUGACAAUGGGUUAAUCCCAAAAAGCCAUCUCAGUUCGGAUUGGGGUCUGCAACUCGACCCCAUG